rnacentral:rRNA from 1 species
AUUGAACGCUGGCGGCAUGCCUUACACAUGCAAGUCGAACGGCAGCACGGGUGCUUGCACCUGGUGGCGAGUGGCGAACGGGUGAGUAAUACAUCGGAACAUGUCCUGUAGUGGGGGAUAGCCCGGCGAAAGCCGGAUUAAUACCGCAUACGAUCUACGGCUGAAAGCGGGGGACCUUCGGGCCUCGCGCUAUAGGGUUGGCCGACGGCUGAUUAGCUAGUUGGUGGGGUAAAGGCCUACCAAGGCGACGAUCAGUAGCUGGUCGGAGAGGACGACCAGCCACACUGGGACUGAGACACGGCCCAGACUCCUACGGGAGGCAGCAGUGGGGAAUUUUGGACAAUGGGCGAAAGCCUGAUCCAGCAAUGCCGCGUGUGUGAAGAAGGCCUUCGGGUUGUAAAGCACUUUUGUCCGGAAAGAAAUCCUUGGCCCUAAUACGGUCGGGGGAUGACGGUACCGGAAGAAUAAGCACCGGCUAACUACGUG